AAGUCGUAACAAGGUCUCCGUUGGUGAACCAGCGGAGGGAUCAUUACUGAGUACUAUACUCUCUACCCUUUGUGAACUAUUAUACCUGUUGCUUCGGCGGCGCCCGCGAGGGUGCCCGCCGGUCUCAUCAGAAUCUCUGUUUUCGAACCCGACGAUACUUCUGAGUGUUCUUAGCGAACUGUCAAAACUUUUAACAACGGAUCUCUUGGCUCCAGCAUCGAUGAAGAACGCAGCGAAACGCGAUAUGUAAUGUGAAUUGCAGAAUUCAGUGAAUCAUCGAAUCUUUGAACGCACAUGGCGCCUUCCAGUAUCCUGGGAGGCAUGCCUGUCCGAGCGUCGUUUCAACCCUCGAGCCCCUGUGGCCCGGCGUUGGGGAUCUGCCACGGCAGGCCCCUAAAACCAGUGGCGGACCCGAUGGACCCUCUCCUUUACGUAGUAGCAUUCGCCUCGUAUUGGGAGUCCUCGGCGUCUUGCCUCUAAACCCCCCACAAGCCCGCUCCGGCGGCACCAAGGUUGACCUCGGAUCAGGUAGGAAUACCCGCUGAACUUAA
rnacentral:rRNA from 1 species